AGGGCUUUAGCUUAAUUAAAGUGUCUGCUUUGCAUGCAGAAGAUGUGGGUUAAUGACCUGUAAGUCUUA
rnacentral:tRNA from 1 species